rnacentral:lncRNA from 1 species
CUGGACUGAAUUUUUACCUCAAUGUGCAAAGGCUGAUCAGCCUGAACUUUCUAAAGGACUUUACAAGAAGGGUUUCUAUGGAAUAUUUUGCUAGCUGUGGUGUUCACCGCAUCCCUCUAGUCUUAGAAGAGAAGAUUAUUCCUUUUUUCUGUAGUCAUUGAGUGGGGUAUAUGCAUAAGUGGGAGAGAAAAACCAAACAAUCUACUUCAGUUCAGUGUAACUAUUUAAUUGUGUGGGUCCAUAGACUUUUUAAUGAAGAUUUCUGACUUUGCCACUGUAAAUGCCUUUAAUGAGCAUUAAUUUUUGAAAGUUUUACAGAGUUUUAUUAGUUUUACUACUUUAUCUUAUUGAUCUCUGCAGACUUGUGCUGGUGCAAGUACAUGCUGACAGGCAAUUUGCACUAUAUUUGGCUGCAGAUUCAAAUAGGCAGUUCUCUUAUUUGGUCGACUUUUGUGAAUGUGUGACAUAAACAGAUGUAAUGCAUGUCACAGUGACGGAGAUAACACUGCCAUGAUAAAAGUACUCAUGUUUCCCCUAUUUGGAAAAAAAAAUUGCUUUUAGUAUUUUUCCAAGUUUUCAAAAGUGCCCAUUUUAUGCUGCUGUGUGGUUUGUUAAAUCUAAAUGAUUUUUAAACUUUUCUCAUAGAAACUUAACUUUGGCAAUAAACAUUUUUUAAGGUCUCUCCUCUUCCUUCCCCAACAAUGUAGUUUUCUAGAUGAGAUUUCAGUAUGAUUUUAUCAGCUAUUUCUUAUAUAUCAUAAUCUGGCAAUUUCUGAAACCAGUCAGAAAAGACAUAUAUUUCCAUGCCUUUUUAAAGAAUUAUUUUUACCUGUUUUAUAUUCACAGUUGGUGUCCUGUCACUUUGUUUUAAAAUAAGCUAGAACCAGGAUGCUUCCUUAUUGGAAAGGCUUUGCCAGUCCUUAAGGUACAAUGAGUGAUGCUGCAACUUGCAAAUGUACCAGCAUUUAAAAUUUCUUUUCCUGGGAAUCAAGGACAUGUUGGUGAGGGGCUGGCUGCUUGGCUGCUGCUUUUAUUCACACUUGUUCAGGGAGAGCACAGAGAAUACCCUUCAGCAUGGCCACUCUGGACCCAAGAGGAGGAAAAAACGGAAGCUUUUUUAGGAGAAGGAGGACUUGCUGGAAUCCAAGAUGUGAAGAACUCUUGGUGACUGGCUGGCUGGCCAGCGGGCACCACACCUGCACUUGAGUGCCUCGGGCUUGCUUAUUAAUAACGCACAGAAGAAGCAUCACUUCUCACCAUCUCCUGGCAUGUAUGGAGCAGGGAGCAAGGCUAUGUUCCCGAAAGCCCUGAUUAGCUUGUCUUGCUCUACGCUCGACCUCGAACAAUACAGCUUGUAAGACCUCAGUCAGUCCUGGUACACUGGGGUAAAUCAGUGUGGUGGUGGAAGAAAAGCCGGGAGGCCUAUUUUUAUAGGAAAAUAGUACCAUUAAAGGUGCAAUGCUGUCAUUUUGGACAAAAGGAAAGAAAUUUGGAAGAGCUGGGAUUAUUGGCAAAAACUUGCUGAGGGGUGAAUCUUUAGAGCUAAUCACUGCAGAAUCAGAGUUGCAGCAAUAUGAUUGCAAGCAAGUCUGAAUGCAUAGUUUUACUUUAAUUCGGCUUGACAAUUUGAAUAGGUAACCCCCUCGGGACUGACUGAAUCGUUAUGCAUGUGUCAAUCAAUGGGAGGUGUGCAUUCUCUAGAAGUAGUUUUAGGCUGUUUGGUUUGGUUUUGGUUUUGUUUUUUAAAUGCAGCCUGUUGAGGCACUGUCAUGUGGUGUGAAAGAUUUAAAUGUAGCAACGCUAAAGAGUAAUAAUUUGGGGAUAAGAAGUGGGGACAUUGGCCGGGCGCGGUGGCUCACGCCUGUAAUUCCAGCACUUUGGGAGGCCUAGGUGGGCGGAUCAGCUGAGGUCGAGAGUUCGAGGCCAGUCUGACCAACAUGGUGAAACCCCAUCUCUACU